rnacentral:rRNA from 1 species
UUGAGGCGUGGCUUCCGGAGCUAACGCGUUAAGUCGACCGCCUGGGGAGUACGGCCGCAAGGUUAAAACUCAAAUGAAUUGACGGGGGCCCGCACAAGCGGUGGAGCAUGUGGUUUAAUUCGAUGCAACGCGAAGAACCUUACCUACUCUUGACAUCCAGAGAACUUUCCAGAGAUGGAUUGGUGCCUUCGGGAACUCUGAGACAGGUGCUGCAUGGCUGUCGUCAGCUCGUGUUGUGAAAUGUUGGGUUAAGUCCCGCAACGAGCGCAACCCUUAUCCUUUGUUGCCAGCGGUCCGGCCGGGAACUCAAAGGAGACUGCCAGUGAUAAACUGGAGGAAGGUGGGGAUGACGUCAAGUCAUCAUGGCCCUUACGAGUAGGGCUACACACGUGCUACAAUGGCGCAUACAAAGAGAAGCGAACUCGCGAGAGCAAGCGGACCUCAUAAAGUGCGUCGUAGUCCGGAUUGGAGUCUGCAACUCGACUCCAUGAAGUCGGAAUCGCUAGUAAUCGUAGAUCAGAAUGCUACGGUGAAUACGUUCCCGGGCCUUGCACUCACCGCCCGUCAAAA